UACGUAGGGUGCAAGCGUUGUCCGGAAUUAUUGGGCGUAAAGAGCUCGUAGGCGGUCUGUUGCGUCGGCUGUGAAAACCCGAGGCUCAACCUCGGGCCUGCAGCCGAUACGGGCAGACUAGAGUUCGGCAGGGGAGACUGGAAUUCCUGGUGUAGCGGUGAAAUGCGCAGAUAUCAGGAGGAACACCGGUGGCGAAGGCGGGUCUCUGGGCCUUACCUGACGCUGAGGCGCGAAAGCUAGGGGAGCAAACAGG
rnacentral:rRNA from 1 species